ensembl:lincRNA
GUAGAGCUUUACAGGUCAAAUGGCAGUUAGGGGGAGGAGAUCACUGUUGAAGGUCAGUACGUACAUGCGUUUGCCCAGCAGGGAGAGCUUCUGUGAAGGAGAAGUGAGAGAUAAAGCUCACCAUGCAAAGAGUUAUGGGUAGUCUGUGAAUUUUCUACAAACUGGAAACAAGGGCAUUAAUAAGGAAAAAUUGUUAGAGACAAGUGUAGAGGCUGAGAUGUCUCUUUAGUACCACACAGCGAUGACUUGAAUGUAGUUUGACAACGAGUUCUAACAACAUACUCCAAGCACAGGGCUGCAAGGAUGACAACAACCAGACCUCAGUCUUGCCCUGUCCGGAUGCUCAUGGUUUAUGGACCAAAUGUGGCCCUGAUUUUCUCAUUUAUACUGCCCCAUUUCUUUUCUUCCCAGACAUCUGGGCUUCAGUGGAAAAUAGUUAAGCAACCUCAGCAACCCAGUGCCUGGCACAGAGCUGAUGUUUUCUCCGGACCACUGGUUUGCUUGAACUGUGCCUUUCUGCUGACAACCAGCCUGCACCUUGAUGACCUUCUCCUGCGUUUAGCCUUCCUCACCCUAGAGUUGUCUGCUCAUCUCCAAGGUCCAGGUACUCCAUGGAUCCAAGCACAGGCACCAGUUUAUCCCCAGCCUCCUCUGCCAGCUGGACUGAGCUCACUGUUGACGGAUUUCUCCCCAUGUAUCUUAUCCUUUGACUUUUGUGCUUGCCUGGAUGUGAAAGUUUAGGAAAAACUCCCUUCUCUCAUCUCCCAAAAGAAAAUGUAAAAAGGAUCGGUUCAGUUCUUAAGUGCUUAGGUUCCCUCUGAUAACCUACUAGCCAAAUAAGAUUUUACCUUUAGGGAAGGGAAGGGGGUUGGCAUUGUUUGUAAAAAGAAGAAACCAGAAGACCUAAACUUUUAGUCCUUGCCUUGUCACUUAUUACUGUGUGACUCUCAGGAGGUCUCUGUGACUCAGUUUCAACAUCAGAAAAAUGUAGUUAGGAAUAAUGCUUCUGCUUCUGUUACCUGGAUGUCAAAAAGAUAAUAUUUAUUUCAAAAUCCCUUUGUUAACUUUCACUGUUCAGAAGGGUCAUUGUUCCAAAUAUAGUCAUUGUUCAGAAGCGUCAACACUGUUGAAGCAAUUCUUUCAAUCAACUUGUAGCCACUGCCUUAAACCCAUGAGUGUUAGAAAAAGUGUGAAUAUGAGGGGAAAACUAGACUUUAGUGUUGAGGUAUGAUUUGUGCUGGCUCUAAAGGUUUUAUUGUUUAACAAGUUCUCACUAGAUACCUUCAUCCUUAGUUACUUUCUUGUCACUGAGAUACAAUACCUGAUGCCCGCAGUUCCAAGGAGGAAAGGUAUGUUUUGGCUCACGGUUGUUGAGGUUUCAGUCCAUAGUCGGCUGGCUCCAAGGCAGGGUGGCAUGGCGGAGGAGAAAGAGCUCCAGAUAUAAGCCGUUACACCUUCUAGAUGUCCCCUCAAAGACUCAUGCACUCAUAGGUGGGGCUCUUGGGAGCCUGACUCUUAGAUUUCUGUUUGUAACUGAAUGGAUCAGAUGCAUGCACUGGGAGAGGGAACUCAC